rnacentral:rRNA from 1 species
UACAGAGGUCCCGAGCGUUGUUCGGAUUUAUUGGGCGUAAAGGGUGCGUAGGUGGCAAAGUAAGUUGGAUGUGAAAUCCUGGGGCUCAACCUCAGAAUUGCAUUCAAUACUGCUUAGCUAGAGAGCUGUAGAGGAGACUGGAAUUUACGGUGUAGCAGUGAAAUGCGUAGAUAUCGUAAGGAAGACCAGUGGCGAAGGCGAGUCUCUGGACAGCAACUGACGCUGAGGCACGAAGGCCAGGGGAGCAAACGGG